rnacentral:tRNA from 1 species
GAGAGAGGCCUGAUAGCAACGAAAGCUGCUAACUUUCGCCUCCGUGGUUUGACUCCACGGCUCACUCG